CUACAAAUAUUUCCAGCAUGGCCUCUCUGGGACACAUGGAGGAAUUUGAUCUGACUCCAGCCUCAUGGGACUCAUAUUCUGACAGUUUUUUCCCUGGAAGCUAAUAAGGUAGUUGAUGCUAUUCAGAAGAGAGCUGUGUUACUGAGUGUUAUUGGAUCCAAGACUUUUGAUACUGUCCGCUCACUGAUAUCUCCUGCUAAACCACAAGACUACUUAUUUGAAGAAAUACUGGCACUGUUAAAACAUCAUUUAGCACCCUCCCCAUCUGAAACAGUGAGGCGUUUCCAUUUCAAUAGAAGAAAUCAGAAACCAG